UACGUAGGGGGCAAGCGUUGUCCGGAUUUAUUGGGCGUAAAGAGCGUGUAGGCGGUUAGGUAGGUCCGUUGUGAAAACUCGGAGGCUCAACCUCGAGACGCCGAUGGAAACCAUCUGACUAGAGUCCGGAAGAGGAGAGUGGAAUUCCUGGUGGUAGCGGUGAAAUGCGCAGAUAUCAGGAAGAACACCCGUGGCUAAGGCGGCUCUCUAGUACGGUACUGACGCUGAGACGCGAAAGCGUGGGGAGCGAACAGG
rnacentral:rRNA from 1 species